GACGAACGCUGGCGGCGUGCUUAACACAUGCAAGUCGAACGGAAAGGCCCUGCUUUUGUGGGGUGCUCGAGUGGCGAACGGGUGAGUAACACGUGAGUAACCUGCCCUUGACUUUGGGAUAACUUCAGGAAACUGGGGCUAAUACCGGAUAGGAGCUCCUGCUGCAUGGUGGGGGUUGGAAAGUUUCGGCGGUUGGGGAUGGACUCGCGGCUUAUCAGCUUGUUGGUGGGGUAGUGGCUUACCAAGGCUUUGACGGGUAGCCGGCCUGAGAGGAUGACCGGCCACAUUGGGACUGAGAUACGGCCCAGACUCCUACGGGAGGCAGCAGUGGGGAAUAUUGCACAAUGGGCGGAAGCCUGAUGCAGCAACGCCGCGUGCGGGAUGACGGCCUUCGGGUUGUAAACCGCUUUCGCCUGUGACGAAGCGUGAGUGACGGUAAUGGGUAAAGAAGCACCAGCUAACUACGUG
rnacentral:rRNA from 1 species